rnacentral:rRNA from 1 species
AGCAGCCGCGGUAAUUCCAGCUCCAAUAGCGUAUAUUAAAGUUGUUGCAGUUAAAAAGCUCGUAGUUGAAUUUCGAGACCGGCUUACUGGUCGUGCUAUUGUACGUACUGGUAUAAUCGGUUUCUCCUUUCUGACGAACUAUAAUGCCAUUAAUUUGGUGUUAUAGGGAAUCAGGACUGUUACUUUGAAAAAUUAGAGUGUUUAAAGCAGGCUCACGCUUGAAUACAUUAGCAUGGAAUAACGGAAUAGGACGUUUGAUUCUAUUUUGUUGGUUUCUAGGAUCGACGUAAUGAUUAAUAGGGAUAGUUGGGGGCAUUAGUAUUCAAUUGUCAGAGGUGAAAUUCUUGGAUUUAUUGAAGACUAACUACUGCGAAAGCAUUUGCCAAGGAUGUUUUCAUUAAUCAAGAACGAAAGUUAGGGGAUCGAAGACGAUCAGAUACCGUCGUAGUCUUAACCAUAAACUAUGCCGACUAGGGAUCGGAUGAUGUUAAUUUUUAAUGACUCAUUCGGCGCCUUACGG